CAGCAGCCGCGGGAAUACGUAGGGUGCGAGCGUUAAUCGGAAUUACUGGGCGUAAAGCGUGCGCAGGCGGCUUUGCAAGACAGAUGUGAAAUCCCCGGGCUCAACCUGGGAACUGCAUUUGUGACUGCAAGGCUAGAGUGCGGCAGAGGGAGAUGGAAUUCCGCGUGUAGCAGUGAAAUGCGUAGAUAUGCGGAGGAACACCGAUGGCGAAGGCAAUCUCCUGGGCUUGCACUGACGCUCAUGCACGAAAGCGUGGGGAGCAAGCAGGAUUAGAUACCCCAGUAGUCCCUGUCUCUUAUAC
rnacentral:rRNA from 1 species